ACCAAAAUCUAUUUUUUCUUUGUCUUGAUUGUUUUAAGUCUGCUUAUAUCAGAUCACCUAACCUUGAAAGGUCAAGACCAUUUCAAAAUUUUUCCUUUCCCAAUCUAUUAGUCACCAAAUCCUAUCAAUUCUACCUCUACUAUCACCUCUUUUCCCCCUUCCAUCAUCCUACUCUACUUAGCUAAAUUUCUAAAUACUGAUCACCUGUCCUGAUCGUUUCCUAAAUAGUAACAAGUUUCAGUCUUUCUCAGAUUCAAGCUAUCAUUCCCUCCCUGCAGUAUUACUCUUCCUAAAGCACAGAUUGCACUAAUCACUUCAGUCCUAAUUUAAAACUUUUACUUUAUUAGUUUCCUGCCAGAUCAAUAUUCAUUCAUUUUAACAAACAGUAAGUGCUCAUGUUGUACCAGACUCAGUGCUAGAUACUGGAGUUACAAGGGCAAAAAUACAACAGAUCCAAGACGUUCUGCUAGAAGUAAAAUAAAACCUACAGAAAAAACCUCAGAGAAAACGUAUACCUCUGCAGAAGAGUGAGUUGAGACAGAGAAGGAUUAAUUACUGGCACAAUGUGCCAUUGCAGGUAAGAGUUUGAUCCAGGAAUUUUACUGUCACAUCCCAUGGAAAAAGCUUUCAAACUGCGCAUGUAGGAUAUUUUCAGAAAAUAGGGCAUUCAACAAGAUCACAGACCAGGGACUACUUAUGGGUGAUCUCCAGGUUUGAGAAAGUUGCACUGCUGAGAGAUCCUUAAUUUGCAAAAAAAUAAAAUAAAGUCUGGCUAAGAUUAAUUAGUAAAAAGCCUAGAAGACAAGCCUGUUCUGUUCCAUGUGCAAUUUCACUGAAUUCUUCGCCAAACUGAGUUUGUAAUUUUUAAAUUUCCUAUUCUUCGAAUCUGACAACUAGCAAAGGUUCAAAUCUCACUCUGUCACCCCGCUCCCCAAAGAGUCAUGCUUUCACCCCAAACUCAUUUCCUGUGACCGCCUUUCGUCCCAAAGUCCUCAAAAACAGGCAAGCCCACGCUCUCCACCGGGGAUCCUUCGCAGCUGGUUAGGACCCCAUCGCG
rnacentral:lncRNA from 1 species